rnacentral:rRNA from 1 species
AUGGUAGUCCAAUGCUUUUUUGAAGUAUAUAUUGGCACUAUGCUGAAAAGGGACAUGAUAGGAAGUGAAGACUGCCAGUCAUCGCGCCAUAUUCCCGUUUGCUAUCAAACUCUCAAAAAGGAAAAACAACUUUACUCUGUUUUUUUGGAGAACCUUCCUGUAGAGUACCUCGACACAGACAAAUAUGCGAUCAAGGAUAUAUUCGAUGGAUUUUCACUCAAAACUUGGAGGAUAUUUUUUGUAGAUAGUUUGGUGCUCUCAUGGUUAUUUUGUAGUGAUUUUCCUUCCGUUCAUUACUUGGUAACCAUCUACUGCAGCUCAACUAUUGUCCAGUUGCUGACCUUAUGGUGCUUCUUCUGUAACUUUUUAGCUGGCUCUUCUCAUUUCCUGGCGAACUUUUUAGUCUGUACAGUCGAAUCGUUGGAAGUUGUUUUCUACUAUCUAUAG